UAAUAUGGAAUGGUGGCAUUACUAACAGUACCCCACCCAAUUAUGGCCGGAUCAGGGCUAAACUACCAUCAGAUGAAAAAUCAAAAGCAUACUUGGUUCACCGUGUAGCGUUAAUGUGCUACAUGAAGUCAAAUCUGAAUGCCAGGGACUCUGUGAGCCACUUGUGCAACAAAAGCUUGUGUGUUAAGCCUGAACAUUUAAACAUAGAGCCUCAUUCCACCAACAUGGAACGGAGGACAUGUUUACAGUUCGGACAAUGUAACGGCCAUGGAACUGAGCCUGCCUGCAUAUUUGGUACUUAUAUGAUUAGCACAAGUUUCAUAUCAUCCAUUUAUUCAUAGAAAUACACUAAAAGUACAUAAAUGCUUUUAUUUUUCAUUUAUAACCCUGUUUAUAAGGUAUUUUUGCUUUUUUAGCCAGAAGGAAGCCUGAGGCUGAGACAGGGGCCAGUGAAUAGUGACCUUUUUGCCAAGGAGUGCCAGAACAGAGGACAUCAUAGACUGGAGUAGGGCGGGGACAUAGACCUUGUUUGUUAGUAAGUCUGGAUGGACUUUUGAUGGAGUGGGAACCUGUAACCUAUCUACGUAGCGAGUCCUGUUCACUCGCGGACGCAAGGGCUUAGCUGGGGUUAGAGAGCCGUCUACAUCCCGAAAAGUUGGAGACUACAUGAGACUUUGACAGUUGGCGGGAAACCAUCAUCCACUGGAGAGAAGCCGGUAAAAAGAUGGCCAUAAAACAGUACCGCUGAUUCGCAUAGAGUUCUUUCUUACAUACUGCAUGACCUAUCUUUUUUAUUGCUAAAAUCAAUUUGUCUUGGAAAGCUGUUUAAGAAAAGGUAUGGUUAUGAGGGUGUC